GCUCUGCGGGGAGUGGAGCUCCACCGACUGCCGCCGCCGGACCUCGCGCUCCUCCCAGUCGGUGUCGGGCUCCAGGCCCUUGAGCACCGCCAGACGCUCCUGCAGGCUCUUUGCUGAAGGGAACAGCAGUUUCCCCAAAAGCAACUCAUAUCAAGACGAAAUUGAUGUUAUGAGCCACUCCCAAUUGUCAUUCAGUUUGAAAAACACUGCUGGACAUUCCAGAUGAGAAAGCGUAUUCUCCCUGGGGAGACCCUCGGCCCCACUUCCUGACUGUUGAGUCUGUAUUUCUCACUCUGAGCGGCUGCUGCGUUGGCUGGUCCUCCGACGGUGAACUUCAGGGAUCUGCGUUGGCUGGUCCUCCGACGGUGAACUUCUGGAAUCUGCAUUGGCUGGUCCUCCGACGGUGAACUUCAGGGAUCUGCGUUGGCUGGUCCUCCGAUGGUGAACUUCAGGAAUCUGGGGACUAUUUAUCAUUUGGUCCCAGUUGCACCCCCAGCAAUUCUCACACUGUCUGGCACGCUAUAGCUGCUCACUAAAUGUUUGUGAAGGGACCAAAUGAGUAAAAGGCCAGCAUUUGUUUCCUCAGGCCCAUCCUCGAUCUUACCCAUCUAGCCUGCCUCCUCCUUGAAGAACUACUGAAACUGA